rnacentral:lncRNA from 1 species
GUUGUUUUUCAACUGACAACCUCAGCGGCGCAAAUACGGUACGAAUAACUCAACGAGCUCUAGGCGAUAUUGGCGCUUCGACAUUUGGUAAGAUCCUGAGCCGAGAAUGUCGUUGUAAAUUUUAAUUUGUCUAGCACUGUUACUGCAUUAUGCCUGAUGUGUGUUUUGAUUUUAAAUGGGUCAUAUGGUGUGUGUAUCUACUACCUUGUUUCAGUGUUUGUUCAACCAUGUUAAUUGUGGCCAGCAAUUGUUGUUGAGUUGUUGGGUAGUUCUUUUCCUUUACGUGCCAUUUGUUUUCUAUAUUAGUGGGUUAUUUGUUUUAUAUAUAAA